UCAUUGCCUGUAAAAUGAUACUCCACAUGGUGGGGGCCAUGAGGACUUCAGAUUUUAGGAGUCCCCCUCCCUACAGGUGUCCUUAUUUUUAAACGUUUUCAAAUUUUAGCCGCAGAUGUGAUGAGUUUGUACGGUGUAGGAAGUUUGACAUUUAGGAUCGGAGCCUCAAAUUUCUCUUCAAAUUUCUCUCCCAUGUAAUCAAGUAAAUCUGUUCAUCUUGGUGCGUUUCAUACAAAUUGAAGAUUUUAUUGCAUUUAAAAAUCAAUAAUUUUUGUUUACUUGAACAAAGUUAGGAGGUUGAAAUUUUGAUUUUUUUUCUAUGAGAAAAUAUAUGGAAUACAUGGAAGAAGAGAAAGUUGAGACAUAGAAUUUCAAAUUCAAAAUCCGCAUACAGUGGAACGUUAAAGGACAUUUCAUUAGUAAAAGUGACGAGUUUUCAGUAGCCGUGCACACGGAGGCCGGCUGAAAUUCAACUGGAACGUAAAGUGAAACUGUAUUUAUAACGAUCGAUACAUGGUUUUCCAUUAACUGACCUAUAUUUAUCAAUAUUUGCAUACAUUCAGUUCAGAAUAGAGAGAAACCGCACGGAGAGGAAAUGAAGAUUUUCUGGGGCCUCACAAUAUUAGAGACGAGGUGGCCGAGUGGUUAAGGCGUUGGACUGCUAAUCCAAUGUGCUCUGCACGCGUGGGUUCGAAUCCCAUCCUCGUCGAAUUAAUUUUUGCCAGUGCACAUUAAAGCUAAAUUAAUUAUAACUUGCUGAUUUUCUGACCAAUGUAUCCAGUCCUAACAUUUGAGCAUAAACAUAAACUUUACUAACGGCGCGACUCCACUAAUUCCAUCAAUUACAUUACUCGGUUAAAUGUGAAAAUAAAUGUGAAACACAAUGUGUACUUAUUAUGUCAUACAUAUUAUUAUAAUAUGUAUAAACGACAUAAUAUUAUUAUGUCGUUUUUACUUUGCCCAUUUGCCAAAUUGUAUUUUGCACGAUGAGGCAACAUGAAAAUUCCCACGCUCAAAACUCCAAUUUCCAACAUCAACCGGAACAUUUGUCAAAUCCAUGUGCUUUUGUAAAUUAGUUGCAUUUACAUGUUUUGAAACAAUAAAUUAUCUUUGAACACCAAUUUCUGUGGAUGACUACCUUCAUUCGGUGUAUAGCACGUCGGACGUGCCUCUUCAGGUCUCAGGACAUGGGGGAAAUAUUUACUGUCGAAUGAUAUUGUUUCUGAGAUGACAUGUCUUCGCUAAAACGAGCAUGAAGAUGCAACAUUUCUUGAUUCAGGACACCAAGUCGUCCCUGGCCGGAAAUGUAACGGGCCUUUACCUUAACUUGAAUGUCUUUUCAUCCAUCGUUGACUUUGAUGAGAAAAUCGGCCCUUCGUCACUUCAAAAGGAAGUCUUGGAUUUUAUCAACAAUUUAGAAGUCAUUGUGGCAAUAGCUCGGAUUUAACAAAGAUUGAUGGAAAACUGAAGGGACCUUGUACCAUUGACAAUCUGCCACCACGGGAGCCCUGUUUGCUUUGCAAGCGAAAUGUCGAAAAGACCUGGACCCUUGUGUGUGAGAAGGAGUGAUGCUUUGGGUGCAACAAUCUUUUGUGGGACAUGAACAAUCCACAGUUGCUGUUAAAUUAUGUUAAAUUUUGCCAGUAUAUCGGAUAAUUUCUAAUAAAUUCACUUCGUCCUUAUCAAUUUAAAUCAUUCCAAAUAUCUUAAGAUGCAUGGACUUCAGCCAUAUUCGAAACCCUAGGGGGAUGUGAAAGGUAAAGUGACCGGUGUAUCUCCACAAUUCAACAUUAAUAUGCUAUAAA